AAAAGACUUAGUCCUAACCUUAUCAUUUAUUCUUGCUAAACAUAUACAUGCAAGUAUCCGCGCUCCAGUGUAAAUGCCCUAAAACACCUUAAUAAGGUAGCAGGAGCAGGCAUCAGGCUCACAACAGUAGCCCAAAACGCCUUGCCAAGCCACACCCCCACGGGUAAUCAGCAGUAAUUAACAUUAAGCAAUAAGUGUAAACUUGACUUAGUUAUAGCAAUUCAGGGUUGGUAAAUCUUGUGCCAGCCACCGCGGUCAUACAAGAAACCCAAACUAAUGUUACACGGCGUAAAGAGUGGACUUUCUCUAUCUCCCCCGACUAGGACUGAAACACAACUAAGCUGUUAUAAGCACAAGAUGCCCAUAAUACCCUCCACUAAAACGACCCUAGCCUACUGAUCAACUGAACUCCACGAAAGCCAGGCCACAAACUGGGAUUAGAUACCCCACUAUGCCUCGCCUCAAAUCUAGAUGUUCAACUACCUGAACAUCCGCCUGGGAACUACGAGCACAAACGCUUAAAACUCUAAGGACUUGGCGGUGCCCUAAACCCACCUAGAGGAGCCUGUUCUAUAAUCGAUAACCCACGAUAAACCCAACCACCCCUUGCUAAUCCAGCCUAUAUACCGCCGUCCCCAGCUCACCCUUACAAUGAAGGGCCAACAGUGAGCACAAUAGCACCCCACUAACACGACAGGUCGAGGUAUAGCCUAUGAGGUGGCAGAAAUGGGCUACAUUUUCUAUCAUAGAAAACCACGGCAAGAAGUGUGAAAUCACUUCUAAAAGGCGGAUUUAGCAGUAAAGCAGGAUUAUCAUGCCUUCUUUAAGCUGGCCCUAGGGCACGUACAUACCGCCCGUCACCCUCUUCACAAGCUACCAAAUCCCCUUAUUUCCUAAUACCUAAAUAAGCUAAAGACGAGGUAAGUCGUAACAAGGUAAGUGUACCGGAAGGUGUACUUAGACUACC
rnacentral:ncRNA from 1 species